GGAGAAGAAAAGAGAAAGAGCUGAGAAAGAAGUGGAGACACUGAAGAGGAAACUGGAGACUGAGCUGGGAAAACUAACUGGUGACAACGAGAAGCUUCAAGAGGAGAAAGAUCAGCUGAAGAAGACGAUGUGGACCAGAAACAAAGAGCUGGAGACCAGAAACAAAGAGCUGGAGGAGCUAAAACAGAAGCUGGAAAAACUAACUGGUGACAACAAGAAGCUUCAAGAGGAGAAACAUCAGCUGAAGAAGGAGAUGGAG